rnacentral:rRNA from 1 species
GACAGAGGGUGCGAACGUUGUUCGGAAUUACUGGGCGUAAAGCGCGUGUAGGCGGCAGCGCAAGUCGGGCGUGAAAUCCCACGGCUCAACCGUGGAAGUGCACUCGAAACUGCAGGGCUAGAGUCCUGGAGAGGAAGGUGGAAUGCUUGGUGUAGAGGUGAAAUUCGUAGAUAUCAAGCGGAACACCAGUGGCGAAGGCGGCUCACUGGACCGGAACUGACGCUGAGGCGCGAAAGCGUGGGGAGCAAACAGG